GACGAACGCUGGCGGCGUGCCUAACACAUGCAAGUCGAGCGGAGCGGCGGACGGGUGAGUAAUGCCUAGGAAUCUGCCUGGUAGUGGGGGAUAACGUCCGGAAACGGGCGCUAAUAUCGCAUACUAUCAGAUGAGCCUAGGUCGGAUUAGCUAGUUGGUGGGGUAAAGGCCUACCAAGGCGACGAUCCGUAACUGGUCUGAGAGGAUGAUCAGUCACACUGGAACUGAGACACGGUCCAGACUCCUACGGGAGGCAGCAGUGGGGAAUAGUGGGCAAUGGGCGAAAGCCUGCUCCAGCCAUGCCGCGUGUGUGAAGAAGGUCUGCGGAUUGGAAAGCACGUUAAGUUGGGAGGCGGUACCGACAGAAUAAGCACCGGCUAACUACGUGCCAGCAGCCGCGGUAAUAC
rnacentral:rRNA from 1 species